UAGGGAAUCUUCCACAAUGGACGAAAGUCUGAUGGAGCAACGCCGCGUGAGUGAAGAAGGGUUUCGGCUCGUAAAACUCUGUUGUUAAAGAAGAACAUAUCUGAGAGUAACUGUUCAGGUAUUGACAGUAUUUAACCAGAAAGCCACGGCUAACUACGUGCCAC
rnacentral:rRNA from 1 species